GACGAACGCUGGCGGCGUGCUUAACACCUGCAAGUCGAGCGGAGCGGCGAACGGGUGAGUAACGCGUGAAUACCUGCCCCCCUCUCUGGGAUAACAGUUGGAAACGGCUGCUAAUACCGGAUAGUGGGGGAUGAUUCGCGUCCUAUCAGCUUGUGGGUGGGGUAGUGGCCUACCACGGCGAGGACGGGGAGCCGGCCUGAGAGGGCGACCGGCGACAAUGGGCUGAGAUAGGGCCCAAAUUCCUACGGGAGGCAGCAGUGGGGAAUAUUGCACACUAGGGGAACCCGUGAUGCAGGAACGCCGCGGGCGGGAUGACGGUCUUCGGGUUGUAAACCGCUUACAGCAAUGACGCGGUAGUGGCAGAAGAAGCACCGGCUAACUACGUGCCAGCAGCCGCGGUAAUAC
rnacentral:rRNA from 1 species